ACGGUAACGAGCUGGGGAGUAGGUCUUCCCCUCCCUGCUGCCUCUGGCCGCGGUGGCGAGGCAUGACACAGGUACAUAACUUUAGGCCUACUUGAACCUCAACUUUUCUAUUGGAGGAAGUACAUCACUUCAUUUAGAAAACUCUUCGAUUUCAGAGAAGAAUAUUUUGGAACACAUGUCAAAGAAGAAUAUAUACUCAUAUUGUCACAGUUUCAUGAGAUGAUGUUCAAUGAAAAGACACUUGUGGAGUAGCUGCAACCCUUAGAACCAUGCUAUUAUGGUGCUUCACUUUCGUCUUCUCUUUAUAUGUUUGUAUCAAUUUUUGUGCUGAACAUUGUCUACUGACCGUAUGGGAGCAUGGCCGAUUGCGCUGGUUUACGAAUGGGCAUGGAUGGAAGAUGGUUUUAGUCAAUAAAGAACUUAUGUUACCCCAGGCCAAGCUCAAGUAUGGGGAUAGAGUUGAAGUGAGGUUUUCUCCACAUAUUACUCGAGAUAAUUUACAAGUUAGCUACUACUCUUGAGUUUGUACAUAAUGAGACCGUGUGAUAGUAACUUGUGCUGUAAAUAUGAGUUUUGAUGCAAUAAAUUCAAGUUUCAAUCAAA